AUGCCCUUCAGGCGAGCCCCCUCUGCGCCGCCGUCUCGCCAUGGCGCCCGGACCGGCCUCCCGCGCACACAUAGAGGGACAGCGCCCUUGCCUUCGUCCCCGGCCGGCCUCUCCUUCCUCCGCCAUGCCUCCUCCACUCUGCAUCGUCUCCCCAUCCAUGGCACCCUUCUCCUCCUCCGCCUGGUGCCUGCGAAGCCGCACGCCCCUCGCCCUCCGUCGUCCGCUUCCGGCGCCUCCGACCCUCCUCUGCUUCGUCUCCCCAUCACCAUGGCCUGGUUCGCCUCGCCGCUGCUUCUCUGCUCCGCUCCGCCGCCCCUGCUCCGCCCAGCAAGUGCGCCGCCGCUGCCCUCCUCUGCUCCGCCUCCGUUGCGCCAAGGCACCCCGGGCAUCUCCUGCUCCUCGCCGGCCUUCAGUGUGUGCGCCGCCGCUUCCCUGCUUCAGGCCCUUUGUCGUGCCCUGCAUCCCGCAGCUGAACGUGACCAGCCGUAG
rnacentral:rRNA from 1 species